rnacentral:rRNA from 1 species
UACGAAGGGGGCUAGCGUUGCUCGGAAUCACUGGGCGUAAAGCGCACGUAGGCGGAUUGUUAAGUCAGGUGUGAAAUCCUGGAGCUCAACUCCAGAACUGCCUUUGAUACUGGCAAUCUCGAGUUCGGGAGAGGUGAGUGGAACUGCGAGUGUAGAGGUGAAAUUCGUAGAUAUUCGCAAGAACACCAGUGGCGAAGGCGGCUCACUGGCACGAUACUGACGCUGAGGUGCGAAAGCGUGGGGAGCAAACAGG